rnacentral:lncRNA from 1 species
UUCACGAGAUAAACUUGGACUUAUGAAACAGGGUUACCACCCUGCAAGUAUAUCAAGCUCAUUCAUACCAUACAUCACAAAAAUUUCAGUGAUCAAGCAUGGGUAAAACAGUCAAUAACCUAUAUGCAUGGUAGAUCCAGCAAACUUCACCUUGAAUCACCUUCGCAAGGGCAUCUAUCAACAUCAACCAAACACGGUCUUUAGCUAUCAGUGAACCGCCUGGCAAAUCAUUAUAGGAAGUGUUUAUGAUCGGAUACCA